GGCUCAUCCCAUCUUCCUGUUUAUUUCUGAUGAGAGCAAUGACCGCGUCUGCACGGCGCGUCCCAGCCCUGCGUGCUCACAGCCACAUCCAGCCGGGCCCAGCUGUCCCUCGAGGGGAUGCCACGUAUCCCCCCCAGCCAUUGGGAUCCAUUGGGAUCCAUUGGGGUCUGGUUUUCCUCCACUCUGCGUCUCCCCAGCACGAUGGCUGUGCUCAGCCCCAGUGGCUGUGCAAAGCUUCUGUGUGGAACGAGAUUUAAAGCAGCGCAGCAAAGAGGUGAUAGAAAAACCAAACUCUAUUAAAAACCCAUUUUCUGCAGGAAUCGCUUAUGAUGACACGGCUGUGGGCAUGCAGCUGCAUCAGCACCCCCCCUUCGCCCAGGCCCAAAUCCGCUGCACCUCCAGCGCAGGGCACGGUGUGCCCAGCUGUCCCCAGCACAGGGCAGUGAGCUGCAGAGACAGUGACGCACGUGGAACCCAUCCUCCACCACCACCAUCCCCGUGCCACCGUGGGAGCGCUGGGGACAGCGUGUCCCGUGCAAGCAAUCACGCUCAGCUCUGCUGUCAUUGCUGCUGCCUGAGCCCCAGCAAUGCUUAUGAAUAAAUGAAAGGAGAGCAAAGCGUCUGCCUAAUGGAAUGAUGACAAAUGUGUACCGAAACCGAAGGGAAAAG
ensembl:lncRNA